AUGGGGGACCUGAUGCCCCACCCCCGUGACCGAAGAAGUAUUNCGGUAUGUAAANCUCUANCACCAGGGAAGAAGAAUGNCGGUCCCUGNCUAAGAACCNCCGNCUAAAUNCGUGCCACCACCCCCGGUAAUNCGUAUGGUGCAACCGUUANCCGGAUUUNCUGGGUGUAAAGGGAGCCCCAGGCCGGUGCCGGCCAAGNCCUGAUGUGAAAGCCCCGGGGCCUCACCCCCGGUCCUGCCAUUGGAANCUGUCCGUACUAGAGUGNCGGAGGGGUAAGUGGAAUUCCUAGUGUACCGGUGAAAUGCGUAGAUAUUAGGAGGANCCCCAGUGGCCGAAGGCGGCCUUACUGGACGAUANCUGACGCCUGAGGCCNCGAAAGCCGUGGGGAGCCAANCAGGAUUAGAUNCCCUGGUAGNCCAAGGGCCGAAUUC
rnacentral:rRNA from 1 species